AAUAGAUACCCAGGUAGUCCACGCCGUAAACGAUGAGUGCUAAGUGUUAGAGGGUUUCCGCCCUUUAGUGCUGCAGCUAACGCAUUAAGCACUCCGCCUGGGGAGUACGGUCGCAAGACUGAAACUCAAAGGAAUUGACGGGGGCCCGCACAAGCGGUGGAGCAUGUGGUUUAAUUCGAAGCAACGCGAAGAACCUUACCAGGUCUUGACAUCCUCUGACAACUCUAGAGAUAGAGCGUUCCCCUUCGGGGGACAGAGUGACAGGUGGUGCAUGGUUGUCGUCAGCUCGUGUCGUGAGAUGUUGGGUUAAGUCCCGCAACGAGCGCAACCCUUGAUCUUAGUUGCCAGCAUUUAGUUGGGCACUCUAAGGUGACUGCCGGUGACAAACCGGAGGAAGGUGGGGAUGACGUCAAAUCAUCAUGCCCCUUAUGACCUGGGCUACACACGUGCUACAAUGGAUGGUACAAAGGGUUGCAAGACCGCGAGGUCAAGCCAAUCCCAUAAAACCAUUCUCAGUUCGGAUUGUAGG
rnacentral:rRNA from 1 species